GCGUCAAUGGGGUAACGGUAACCCGAGUUGUAACAAUAAAGUGCUCUGCAAUAGAGUUUGUCGCUCGACUAGCUGGGGGUUCGACUCCCUCUUGAUGCA
rfam:Stereum hirsutum FP-91666 SS1 unplaced genomic scaffold STEHIscaffold_4, whole genome shotgun sequence.